AACGAACGCUGGCGGCAUGCCUAACACAUGCAAGUCGAACGAAACCUUCGUGUCUAGUGGCGCACGGGUGCGGAACGCGUGGGAACCUGCCCUUAGGUUCGGAAUAACUCCCCGAAAGGGGUGCUAAUACCGGAUAAUGUCUUCGGACCAAAGAUUUAUCGCCUUUGGAUGGGCCCGCGUUGGAUUAGCUGGUUGGUAGGGUAAAAGCCUACCAAGGCGACGAUGCAUAGCUGGUAUGAGAGGAUGAUAAGCCACACUGGGAAUGAGACACGGCCCAGACUCCUACGGGAGGGAGCAGUGGGGAAUAUUGGACAAUGGGCGAAGACCUGAUCCAGCAAUGCCGGGUGAGUGAUGAAGGCCUUAGGGUUGUAAAGCUCUUUUACCCGAGAUGAUAAUGACAGUACCGGGAGAAUAAGCACCGGCUAACUACGUG
rnacentral:rRNA from 1 species